GAAAGAGAGAGAGGAGGGGGGGGUUGAAAAGAGAGAGAGGAGACAGGAAGGAGAGAGAGAGAGGAGGCGGGGUUGAAAAGAGAGAGAGGAGGGGGGGGGGUGAAAAGAGAGAGAGGAGGGGGGGGGUUGAAAAGAGAGAGAGAGGAGGGGGAGGUUGAAAAGAGAGAGUAAGGAGACAGGAAGGAGAGAGAGAAUGACAGAAGGUAAGAAAAAUAAAGCAGGGGAAAGAGACAAAGAGGGCAAGUCAGAGAAAGAGAUAGAGAGAAAUGGGAGAAUAGGAGGAGUGAAAGAGUGAGAGAGCAGGUGGGAAGAAGAGACCUCCAUUGUCAAACAAUAGAAGCGAACAGCACGAGCCCUCCUCCACAUUCCAGAGGUCAGAGUUUUCAUUUCACGUUAGAGUAUGCACAACGCACACCCAGCUGAUUUUAUAGGUGAAUGGUACAUCAAAGAUGAUAUGAAAACAAAAGAGAACACAGCGUCAACCCGAAGUGGUUGAAAUUGCACCACCUUCAACCUCUGAAAGCCUUUAAACAUUGGGAAGGUAUUUUCAUCCGCUAUCUACAGUAGAUCCGAGUUUUACCAUUCCCAUGUUCAAACAAAUAACACUGUUGAAGGUCCCUGAUGUACAUAACAACUAUGUUUCAGAGAAGGGGUAGAAAGAAAAAGAGGGGGGGAUUCUUACCAGAGUUUGGCUGUUAUGAUGACAGCAGUCAGGAUGAGCAGAGAGGAGAUGGUCACUGUGACAUAAAACUGAGGGUCCACUGGAGAACACACACACACACACACACGUACACACACACACGUACACACACGCACACACACGCACACACGUACACACACACACGUACACACACACACACACACACACACACACACACACACACACGUACACACACACACACACACACACACACACAGAGGAGUUACCGUUCACAUGGUUGGAAAUCAGCACAAUAGAAGCACAAUAGAAGAAAAGCAGUGUCAUGUGCAUUAGAGCAUGUAACGGAAAACGCUUUGAAAUGUUUUGCAACCAAAAACAAAAAUGUGCGUUUCUUAUUGGACAAGUCCAGGUAGACCAUCCCUGUUUCAGUUAUUUCUCUUCCGUUUGGUGCCUUAUGAAUAUAACCCAGGUCAACUGCAAUGAUGUAAGAAAAAAACUUUUCGAGAAUUCCCAUACUGUCAGUAAAGAAACUCAAAGGAGAAUGAGCCGAUGAAGUCAUCCAUUCCAUUGCUUGGUGUGUGAUGUCACCCAUUUCCUUUUGGUGUGUUUUUGUGAGUUCAGAAAACUCUAUUAAGCAUUCUCCACCACCAAGACACAGCCAUCCAUCCACACAAAGCCAGCCCAGUGGGAAUUGAAGUUACUCCCUGAUGCCCUCAGAGUUCUUCUGAUGUCUUUGUUCCAAAACACUCUAUUCUCAUGCCCACCAACACAAAUCCUUUCUUUCUUUAAUCUUUACUGAUUUCUAUGGUGCCCACCUUCCUCAGGCUCUCUCUCCUCCGCCUCACUUCCUCCAUCCUCCACUCCCUCUGCGUCCGGGGCCUCCAGCAGAUCCAGGGGCUCCUGGGGCAAAACGCUGCCCGGUGCACUCUGAUGAUGCAGCCAGGCCUCAGCGGUUGUCGUGGGGACUUCGUGGCCAUGGUGGUACAGGUCCGCUUCCUGGCUGGACAGGAAGUGAUGCGUCUCGUCCUCCAGGGCUAGUGUGGGGCCCCAGUCCACGGACCAAAUAGGGGUGGGUGUGACCUGUCCUGUGAUGGACAGCUGGGCUGAGAAGGCCUCCACCUGCCCCUCGCCCUCGUCGUCACGGUUACAGGUUGAGGGUCGCGUCACCGCGGCAACCAGGAGAAAGAAAAGGCAGCGGUGGGUGGUCAGUCGUUUGACAGGAGAGAUGGAGCUGAGAGAGAAAGAGAGAGAGAGAAGAAAGGAAGGAAGGAGAAAAGAAGAGAAAGACAGAGGGAGAAAUAAAGAGAAGCAGAAAGAGG
ensembl:lncRNA